GGCUUAGAAGCAGCCAUUCAUUUAAAGAGUGCGUAACAGCUCACUAGUCAAGAGACCCUGCGCGGAAAAUGUAACGGGGCUAAGCAUAGCACCGAAGAUGUGAACUUCAGUUUACUGGAGUGGUAGAGGAGCGUUCCUCUCUGCGUUGAAGUUGAACCGUGAGGUUUGGUGGAGCGUGAGGAAGUGAGAAUGUUGGAAUGAGUAACCAUAAGGCAGGUGAGAAUCCUGCCCGCCGAAAGAGCAAGGUUUCCUGGGCCACGGUAAUCGUCCCAGGGUUAGUCGGUCCUAAGCCGAGGCGCGUAGCGUAGGCGAUGGACAACAGGUUAAUAUUCCUGUACUUGCGUUAAUUUGUUAUGUAUUUGCACUUAAUAGUCAGAAGCGGAUUCAUGGUUAUAUCCGUCUAAGCGUUGUCCCUUUUAGGGCGGCGUGAAUGAAACGACCUUCAGGUUGAAUUUCUGAGGAGAGGGUGACGAGAAAAGAUGCGUAACGUGUGAUUAAUGCAAUCCGUACCGCAAACCGACACAGGUGCUCAGGUCGAGAAGACCCAGGCGUACGAGUGAUUCUUCGUUAAGGAACUCGGCAAACAAGCGACCGUAACUUCGGGAUAAGGUCUGCCUCGCCACAGUGUCUAUGACGCGUGGAAAAAGCCGCAUUUCUUGAUUUUGUUGAAAUAAGAAAUAGCGAGAAGCCAAUCCGCGUCUGUCGUAGGCAGCGUGGCGAGGCCGCAGCUAAGGAACCCAUGCAACUGUUUACCAAAAACAUAGGUCUGUGCUAACACGAAAGUGGAUGUAUACGGGCUGACGCCUGCCCAGUGCUGGAAGGUUAAGGGGAGUUGUGUAUGCAGCGAACUGAAGCCCCAGUGAACGGCGGCGGUAACUAUAACCGUCCUAAGGUAGCGAAAUUCCUUGUCAGGUAAGUUCUGACCCGCACGAAUGGAGUAAUCAUGUGGGCACUGUCUCAGCGAGGGCCUCGGUGAAAGUGCAUUGGCGGUAAAGAUGCCGUCUGUCCAUACCAGGACGAGAAGACCCCAUGGAGCUUUACUACAGUUUUACAUUGACCCGGGUUUCAACAUGUGUAGCAUAGUUGGGAGGCUUCGAAGCAGAUACGCUAGUAUUUGUGGAGCCGCAACGUGAAAUACCAACCUUGUUGUGAUCUUGGUCUCACGUUUACCGUUAUCCGGUAAGCGGACCGUGUAUGAUGGGUAGUUUAACUGGGGCGGUUGCCUCCUAAAGAGUAGCGGAGGCGUUCAAAGGUUGGCUAACUUCGGAUGGAAAUCGAAGUGAUAGUGUAUGCGCAUAAGCCAGCUUGACUGUGAGGAUUACAAUCCAAUCAGAGACGAAAGUCGGAGCAAGUGACCCGCUGUAUAGUACUUUGUACGAUGAAUGUGGGAUCGACAGCGCACACGGAUAAAAGUUACCCUGGGGAUAACAGGCUUAUAGCGCCCAAUAGUUCACAUAGACGGCGCUGUUUGGCACCUCGAUGUCGGCUCAUCUCAUCCUGGGGCUGGAGCAGGUCCCAAGGGUCCGGCUGUUCGCCGGUUAAAGAGGUACGUGAGCUGGGUUCAGAACGUCGUGAGACAGUUCGGUUUAUAUCCGCUGUGGACGUCAGGAAAUUUGAGAGGAUCUACCCCUAGUACGAGAGGACCGGGGCGGACGCACCGCUGGUGUAUCAGUUGUUCUACCAAGAGCAUUGCUGAGUAGCUAUCGUGCGGAAUAGAUAAGCGCUGAAAGCAUAUUAAGCGCGAAACUAGCCUCAAGAUUAGAUUUCCCUAUGAGGACACUGAAAGACGAUCAGUUUGAUAGGCGCAAGGUAGAAGUGCGGUAACGUAUGGAGCCGAAGCGUACUAAUAGUCCCAUUGACUUUUUAC
rnacentral:rRNA from 1 species